GACGAACGCUGGCGGCGUGCCUAACACAUGCAAGUCGAGCGAUGAAACCCUUCGGGGUGGAUUAGCGGCGGACGGGUGAGUAACACGUGGGUAACCUGCCUCAAAGAGGGGGAUAGCCUCCCGAAAGGGAGAUUAAUACCGCAUAACAUUAGUUUUUCGCAUGAAGAACUAAUUAAAGGAGUAAUCCGCUUUGAGAUGGACCCGCGGCGCAUUAGCUAGUUGGGGAGGUAAAGGCUCACCAAGGCGACGAUGCGUAGCCGACCUGAGAGGGUGAUGAGCCACAUUGGAACUGGGACACGGUCCAGACUCGUACGGGGGGAAGCAGUGGGGAUUAUUGCACGAUGGGCGAAAGCCUGAUGCAGCAACGCCGCGUGAGUGAUGAAGGCCUUCGGGUUGUAAAGCUCUGUCUUUUGGGACGAUAAUGACGGUACCAAAGGAGGAAGCCACGGCUAACUACGUGCCAGCCGCCGCGGUAA
rnacentral:rRNA from 1 species